ensembl:lncRNA
GGGAAUUUACGACUGUGCGUAAAUCCCCCCUAAUAUUGGUAUGAUCCGAGCUCAGGCACUAAGCGACUGAGCGAGGGGGCGGGGCAGCUGCUGCCUGCGAGUGCGCUGAGAGAAACGGAGCCAGCCAGACAGAGGAGAACUGAAGUUUGAGCAGCACAGAGAGGGAGAGAGAGGAGCAGAGAGGGGGAGAGAGGAGCAGAGAGGGAGAGAGAGGAACAGAGAGGGAGAUGGAGAAUGAGGACAGAACAGAGAUGGAACAAGAGCAGGAGGAUGACGACCACAGAGCAGCAGAGUCCAGAGUGAAACAGAGACUUCCUGCUGUUUCGCAGGCCUGUGAGGGAGAGUCAGCUCCCCUGUCUGUGACCUGUCUGUGACCUGUCUGUGACCUGUCUGUGGGCUCAGGGGUGGUGAAACUCAGUGUGCUGCUCUCUGUUCUUGGCACUGAAACAAAGACCUCCAGAGGAACCACGCCUGGCGAGCAGCCCAAAGGAAUAAGUGCAGAGACCCAAAAGGAAUUUGUAUCAGCUCAGUUUCAGUUUCACAAAAGAGAUCAACGUCAUGACUCACACUGUGUUCACUGAACCAGUGGAGUGUAGGAGGGCUCAGAGGAUGUAACCACACACAGGCUGACUGAGGAACCAGGAAUAAACUGCUUCACUGAACCUCUGCAGAGCAGGUUUUUAUGUUAACAAUCACAACACAAUUUAUUGACUUAAAAAAUAUGAAAUUGUUUUAAACAUGACUAAAUGAUU